AUGUCGCUCAGUGGUGGAGCACCUGUUUGUCACACAGAAGGUUCAAUCCCCUCCAGGUUCAAUCCCUGGCGUCUCUA
rnacentral:tRNA from 1 species